AAUGCCUCCCACUCCUGUAUGUGCACCCCUAUAUGCGCUAUGACUUUGCAUCACGUGGAUGAGCCUGGGCAAGCCUCCUGAUGCCGACAGGCACAUGGCUCUCACUCGAGCAGACACAGAGCCACCACCAGACAUAUGUAGAGCCUUCCAGCCCCAGCCGAGCCAGUUUCGAUGGGAGAAAACACCCAGCCAAGCCACAAAACUGUUUUUACCCUCACAGGAGUACGGAAAGGACAUGUCAGGAUAGAGAUAAAGGGAAAAGGAGAAAAGGAAAACAAACAAACAAGGGCCAUGUGAGACCGUCCAGACUGUGGAUCACUACCAUCCUCCUCAGGUUUUUUUAAAUUGCUAUGGUCUAAGAUGAUAAGGUAAGGAAAAUUGAUUCAAUCACUUUUAAAGCUGAAUUCUUCCUGGGUAACCAUCACAAGGAUUUGACUACUUCUAUCCCUUAGGUUAGAAGCAAAUGAAAGAAGAAGGAUUUGCUCUUGACAGGAUCUUAUUCUUAAGGCUAAGAUUGUCUUUAAAACCUAUUAACAAAGUAUUUUCUAAUAUAACGACUGCAUGGGAUUUGGGGGUGUGUGUCGUUUUUCACAGGCUGUAGUCUAUUUCAUUGAGAUGUGUAAGGUCAGCUAAUAGGGGCAGUCUGCUGCCUGCUGCAUGAUUAAUCAGGUUGGGGGCCUCAGUGGGAUUAAGCCUUGGAAUACACAGGGAUUGCUCGUUUGUUUGUUUGUUUACUUAUUUAUCUUUUAGCUUUGGCAAUUCAGAACUUUACUCACUGUACUAAUUACAAAUUUUUGUAAGAACGCAAGAUCCUCCAUUAUAUAAGUCUUUUAAGGAUUACAUACAGUUUUAAUACAGAGCAAGAAAUGGUGGACAUACCAAUGUGAAAUGGUGAAGCAUUUUGGCACUUGGGGUUUUCAGGAGAUGAAAAGUGUGCACAUGAAAAACAGUUAAUAUUGCAGAUUAUAAUAUACCGUGUAUCAAUAUCUACGUGGGUUGGCACACAUGCGUUAGAAAAAAGCCAUCAUAGGCUGGAAAGGAUUUUGCAAUCAUCUGGUACAAUGUGAACAUUUUACAAAAGAAGAAAUGAGCGCUUGAAAAGUGAUGUACUCGAGAUAACAGAGCUACUCGUGGAAGGCAAGAAGGUCAGGCAAUCGCACUGACUUUCAUCAAUGGCCAACAAUUCUGCCUAUGUCACAACAUCUUCAAUACGAGGACCUUCGACAUGGGACCAAAGGCUGAUUAAGAUUUCAUUCCAGGCCUUGUUUGCUCAAGUUCAGAGAAAUCUGCUCCUCUUUCUCAAGAUCUGGAACACUAGAAAGACUACUUCGCCUUGGGCAUAAUCAGUGGGAAAAGCAACUUACAAAUAAACAUACAAGGAAAGAGUUGCUGUGAUGCUCC
rnacentral:lncRNA from 1 species